AGUGUAUCGGGGAGAAAUGUAUAAAAUAAUCGAGAGCGGCGGAGGCAGGUCAGAGCCGUCUGGAGUACUCGCACCUCCAACGAACAAUGCCAACAUUGAAGUCCUCGGUUGGAGUCUGCACAGUUGGAGAUCUUUGGUGCCGGGGUUUUUUUUUUUUUAGACAUCUUGGAUUUCAUCAAUCAAACUGACUGCAAUUUUCCAUAAAAACCCUGAAUUUGGGUCAGAAAGUGGGCAAAGUAGAUAAAGAUCAUUCGAGCUGUCUUAUAAGAUGAUAAAUAGAUAUCCUUUCAGGCCAA